CCGCCGAGAAGCCCUGGGAACGAGGAUGUUUUUAGCUUCACUUUUGGACUCGAGCUCUCACUCCAGAUAUAUAUAUGGAGCUCACUGCAAAAUAUACCUGAAUUUUCGAGCAUACACGCAUGCAUGCAUCUAUCGUCAAAAGAGUUGGACGAUUAAUAGGUCAUGCACAUAUCUUUGGCCCGAAUUCGAGAAUCUUCGAAGCUGCUUAUCAUUCAAUAGCACUCGCUUAGCUGAUAUAAACAGAUUUGACCUAUUAAAAUUGUUUAAUACGCUCAAUUGCUCUGGAAACACACCGCAGUGUGGGUCAUUCAAUUUAAUAAAAAGAAUGUUUUGUAUAUAUCGUCAUAGCAAAGUCCAAUUAACAAUGCACUUUCCAUAUUUUUUAUGGACUUCUCAUUUCAUGCUUGGUGGACACCGUAUUCAUUUUCCUGUUUAUUUGUGAUCUUGGUAUACAGUCUGAUCGUCGAAUACAGUUCUGAUCGUCAUGUAAUGAUAGAAAGAAAUAAAGUUUGGUGAAGUACUUCUAGUGGAUACCACGAAGUAUUAACCUUCAAAAGUAAGUUACAUUUUAUUUUUACACUAUUGUUUCAUAUAGCAACAGUAUACGAAUGCUUGCAGCUUGCAAAUUUCAAGGUAUGCGAGAUUUUAAUCUUAAAGUUUUAACAAAAACAAAACGAAUCAUUCCCAAAG